rnacentral:rRNA from 1 species
GACAGAGGGUGCAAACGUUGUUCGGAAUUACUGGGCGUAAAGCGCGUGUAGGCUGCUCAGCAAGUCGGAUGUGAAAGCCCUGGGCUUAACCUAGGAAGUGCAUUCGAAACUUCUGAGCUUGAGUUCUGGAGAGGAAGGCGGAAUUCUCGGUGUAGAGGUGAAAUUCGUAGAUAUCGAGAGGAACACCGGUGGCGAAGGCGGCCGGCGGGACAGUGACUGACGCUGAGACGCGAAAGCGUGGGGAGCAAA